CAUGGCUCAGGAUGAACGCCGGCGGUGUGCCUAAUACAUGCAAGUCGUACGCACUGGCCCAACUGAUUGAUGGUGCUUGCACCGGAUUGACGAUGGAUCACCAGUGAGUGGCGGACGGGUGAGUAACACGUAGGUAACCUGCCCCGGAGCGGGGGAUAACAUUUGGAAACAGAUGCUAAUACCGCAUAACAACAAAAGCCACAUGGCUUUUGUUUGAAAGAUGGCUUUGGCUAUCACUCUGGGAUGGACCUGCGGUGCAUUAGCUAGUUGGUAAGGUAACGGCUUACCAAGGCGAUGAUGCAUAGCCGAGUUGAGAGACUGAUCGGCCACAAUGGAACUGAGACACGGUCCAUACUCCUACGGGAGGCAGCAGUAGGGAAUCUUCCACAAUGGGCGCAAGCCUGAUGGAGCAACACCGCGUGAGUGAAGAAGGGUUUCGGCUCGUAAAGCUCUGUUGUUGGAGAAGAACGUGCGUGAGAGUAACUGUCACGCAGUGACGGUAUCCAACCAGAAAGUCACGGCUAACUACGUGCCAGCAGCCGCGGUAAUACGUAGGUGGCAAGCGUUAUCCGGAUUUAUUGGGCGUAAAGCGAGCGCAGGGCGGUUGCUUAGGUCUGAUGUGAAAGCUUUCGGCUUAACCGAAGAAGUGCAUCGGAAACCGGGCGACUUGAGUGCAGAAGAGGACAGUGGAACUCCAUGUGUAGCGGUGGAAUGCGUAGAUAUAUGGAAGAACACCAGUGGCGAAGGCGGCUGUCUGGUCUGCAACUGACGCUGAGGCUCGAAAGCAUGGGUAGCGAACAGGAUUAGAUACCCUGGUAGUCCAUGCCGUAAACGAUGAGUGCUAGGUGUUGGAGGGUUUCCGCCCUUCAGUGCCGGAGCUAACGCAUUAAGCACUCCGCCUGGGGAGUACGACCGCAAGGUUGAAACUCAAAGGAAUUGACGGGGGCCCGCACAAGCGGUGGAGCAUGUGGUUUAAUUCGAAGCUACGCGAAGAACCUUACCAGGUCUUGACAUCUUGCGCUAACCUUAGAGAUAAGGCGUUCCCUUCGGGGACGCAAUGACAGGUGGUGCAUGGUCGUCGUCAGCUCGUGUCGUGAGAUGUUGGGUUAAGUCCCGCAACGAGCGCAACCCUUGUUACUAGUUGCCAGCAUUAAGUUGGGCACUCUAGUGAGACUGCCGGUGACAAACCGGAGGAAGGUGGGGACGACGUCAGAUCAUCAUGCCCCUUAUGACCUGGGCUACACACGUGCUACAAUGGACGGUACAACGAGUCGCAAACUCGCGAGAGUAAGCUAAUCUCUUAAAGCCGUUCUCAGUUCGGACUGUAGGCUGCAACUCGCCUACACGAAGUCGGAAUCGCUAGUAAUCGCGGAUCAGCAUGCCGCGGUGAAUACGUUCCCGGGCCUUGUACACACCGCCCGUCACACCAUGGG
rnacentral:rRNA from 1 species